rnacentral:lncRNA from 1 species
CGAUUUAGCAGAAUCAAGAAAACCCUGGAUGCCUCGGGUUUGCUUUAGUCCAAGGGUAACUAGCAUCUACAAAGUUUCAGGAUCAAAGAAUUUGUUAGAAGGGAAGAACAAAUCCUUGUGCAGAAAUUUUUCUAACUCGGGUACACGAGGAUCAUAUAGCCUGUAAAAGAUAGAAGAUAAAUCAUGUUUACACUAGAAUCAAACACUAAACUAUAUUAUAUAUAUAAUGGAAAUGUAUUUAGAAUAUACCUUUGUGGUUCUAGCAAAGAUCCAGUAUUAGUAAGGACAAAGGGAGUCAUAUGAAUCGUCUGAAUCAUUAUAUAGAUAUAUCAUAUAUUUCUUCGAUUUCCUUCUUCUAAUCCUAGAACUUGAACGAUAGCUCUUCUUCAUCCUCCUUGACCUGGAAUCAUAUGAAUCGUCUCAAUGAUUGAUGAGAAGAACUUGAAGAUGAAAGAUGGAAACAAAGGUGGAGGAGAAUAAGGGAAACCAUAUACAAUAAAAAUGAAGGCCAAUGACCGCCUAAGAAGUGAUCGAUGCCAAAAAAUAGGGGGAAAACGAAAAUCGCUAAAAUUGCAAGAGAGAAUUCAUAAAUUUUAGGGAAAAUGCCACCGGUUGUUUGGGGUUUUUCUUAGUAGUGGGAUUUUUUAUAAUUCUUUUAGGAUUUCAUUCUGUAAUUUUUGGGAGUGCAAUUCGAUCAUCGAUGGUAGAAGGGUUUUUACAGAGAAUGAAGAUCUAGAGGAGAGGGUGAGGAUGCGUAUCACCGGUGGUUUAAAAUAGUGAUGGGGUUUUGCUAUCGGUGUAGUGCGACAGGAAAGAAUGGUUGGAGAAUAUGGUCGGAGACACUUGGCGGUGCGAGAUCGGAGGUUGGGUGGUGGUGCGAUGCUGCUAUGAAAACGAAGGCCUAGGGCUUUUUCUUGCUAAUCGGAAGAGGGGGGGUUGGUUUUAAUUUUUGGGAUUCAAUAGGCG